GCCCAGGUAGCUCAGUUGGUAGAGCAGUGGACUGAAAAUCCACGUGUGGGGGGUUCGAUUCCGUCCCUGGGCA
rnacentral:tRNA from 1 species